AAUAUUCUUUGGGGCGGGGUGUAAAUCCCCACUGGCGGUAAAGUCCGCGACCCGCAUUUUUGCGGUUGAUUCGGUGAGUGCAAAGAUAGUGAUGAACAAUUCUUCACAACUCCGAAACCAACAGUAAAGUGAUGCAGCAUUAUUAGCAAAAGCUGUGUCCAAAGUCUGGAUGGGAAAAGAAAGAG
rfam:Clostridiales bacterium KLE1615 genomic scaffold Scaffold19, whole genome shotgun sequence.